GGGUCAGUAGGUUGGUCGUGCCACCGGUACGUACUGGUCUCACUGAUUCCUCCUUCCUGAAGAACCGUAGUGCCAUUAAUUUGGUGUUGCGGGGAAACAGGACUGUUACUUUGAAAAAAUUAGAGUGAUUAAAGCAAGCUAACGCUUGAAUACAUUAGCAUGGAAUAAUGAAAUAGGACGAUCGAUCCUAUUUUGUUGGUUUCUAGGAUUGACGUA
rnacentral:rRNA from 1 species